rnacentral:rRNA from 1 species
GUGUGCUAACACCGCAUAAUCUCUGAGGAGAAAAGCAGGGGAUCGCAAGACCUUGCGCUUUUGGAGCGGCCGAUGCCUGAUUAGCUUGUUGGUAAGGUAAAAGCUUACCAAGGCUUCGAUCAGUAGCUGGUCUGAGAGGACGACCAGCCACACUGGGACUGAGACACGGCCCAGACUCCUACGGGAGGCAGCAGUGGGGAAUUUUGGACAAUGGGGGCAACCCUGAUCCAGCCAUGCCGCGUGAGUGAAGAAGGCCUUCGGGUUGUAAAGCUCUUUCAGCCGGAACGAAACGGUUACGGAUAACACCCGUGACUACUGACGGUACCGGAAGGAGAAGCACCGGCUAACUACGUGCCAGCAGCCGCGGUAAUACGUAGGGUGCGAGCGUUAAUCGGAAUUACUGGGCGUAAAGCGUGCGCAGGUGGUUUUGUAAGUCAGAUGUGAAAGCCCCGGGCUUAACCUGGGAACUGCGUUUGAAACUACAAGACUAGAGUGUGGCAGAGGGGGGUGGAAUUCCGCGUGUAGCAGUGAAAUGCGUAGAGAUGUGGAGGAACACCGAUGGCGAAGGCAGCCCCCUGGGUCAACACUGACGCUCAGGCACGAAAGCAUGGGGAGCAAACAGGAUUAGAUACCCUGGUAGUCCAUGCCCUAAACGAUGUCAACUAGUUGUCGGGCCUUUACGGGUUUGGUAACGUAGCUAACGCGUGAAGUUGACCGCCUGGGGAGUACGAUCGCAAGAUUAAAACUCAAAGGAAUUGACGGGGACCCGCACAAGCGGUGGAUUAUGUGGAUUAAUUCGAUGCAACGCGAAAAACCUUACCUACCCUUGACAUGUAUCGAA